AACGAACGCUGGCGGCAUGCCUAACACAUGCAAGUCGAACGAGACCUUCGGGUCUAGUGGCGCACGGGUGCGUAACGCGUGGGAACCUGCCCUUAGGUUCGGAAUAACUCCCCGAAAGGGGUGCUAAUACCGGAUAAUGUCUUCGGACCAAAGAUUGAUCGCCUUUGGAUGGGCCCGCGUUGUAUUAGCUAGUUGGUAGGGUAAAAGCCUACCAAGGCGACGAUCCAUAGCUGGUCUGAGAGGAUGAUCAGCCACACUGGGACUGAGACACGGCCCAGACUCCUACGGGAGGCAGCAAUGGGGAAUAUUGGACAAUGGGCGAAAGCCUGAUCCAGCAAUGCCGCGUGAGUGAUGAAGGCCUUAGGGUUGUAAAGCUCUUUUACCCGGGAUGAUAAUGACAGUACCGGGAGAAUAAGCUCCGGCUAACUCCGUG
rnacentral:rRNA from 1 species